AGGAUCUAGUCUAGAUAUAUCUGGAAAUGAGGUCAAUAGAACACAGAACAUAGAGCAACAGGAGCAGAGCUCGACAGCGCAAGACCCAGGAGUAUCUGUGUGACAGUGAGGCUGCUCCAGGUUAAGGCCGCCAUGCAGACAGAUGUGCCAGGGGCCUCCUCCUCCUCC